rnacentral:rRNA from 1 species
AUUGAACGCUGGCGGCAGGCCUAACACAUGCAAGUCGAGCGAGCGGCGGACGGGUGAGUAAUGUAUGGGGACUGCCCGAUAGAGGGGGAUAACUACUGGAAACGGUGGCUAAUACCGCAUACUAUCGGAUAACCCAUAUGGGAUUAGCUAGUAGGUGGGGUAAAGGCUCACCUAGGCGACGAUCUCUAGCUGGUCUGAGAGGAUGAUCAGCCACACUGGGACUGAGACACGGCCCAGACUCCUACGGAGGCAGCAGUGGGGAAUCUUCCGCAAUGGACGAAAGUCUGACGGAGCAACGCCGCGUGAGUGAUGACGGCCUUCGGGUUGUAAAGCUCUGUUAAUCGGGACGCGGUACCGGAAUAGAAAGCCACGGCUAACUACGUGCCAGCAGCCGCGGUAAUAC